AGCCAGGGCCUACCCCGGGCGGCUCCCUUCCACUAUCCUCCAUUGACAAGACCGCCGCCGUCCGUGUCUUUGUCGACUUCAUCCAGGUCUUUCCAUUCGCAUUCGCUGAAAUCGUCGAGGACAAGGCCGUAUCGAUCUUUGCCAUGUGGGAGGGUUUCGCCAAGGUGCUCGUCCACUACUACCCCGUCGCCGACACAUCACGGAGCCGGUCCUCGGGGAGCCCUAGAUAUACUGCACACGGGGAAGGGGUGUGGUUCAUCGAGGCCGAGGCGAACUGCUUGCUGGAGGAGGCGCUCAACCUUGAGCACCUGCUCUGCAUCCCCAAGGACAAGCUUCUCCCGUGCCCGGCGCCCGAGACUUCCAGCAACUUCAGUGAGCACCAAAGGUACUGAAGUUUCUGAGAUCGUUAGCCGUACUGGUUGUUAUCCAAAAGUAACCGGGCUAAGUUCGAAACGCGCGGCAAUUCUGCCGUUCUCCCUCUAUAAUCGAACUGUUCAGUGUGAAAUUCUCUCGUUGCAGCCGAGGCUUGAAAAAUAG
rnacentral:lncRNA from 1 species